rnacentral:rRNA from 1 species
UACGAAGGGGGCUAGCGUUGUUCGGAAUUACUGGGCGUAAAGCGCGCGCAGGCGGUCUUCCAAGUCAGUGGUGAAAGCCCGGAGCUCAACUCCGGAAUUGCCAUUGAAACUGUUAGACUUGAGGAUGAGAGAGGUGAGCGGAAUUCCCAGUGUAGAGGUGAAAUUCGUAGAUAUUGGGAAGAACACCGGUGGCGAAGGCGGCUCACUGGCUCAUUACUGACGCUCAGGCGCGAUAGCGUGGGGAUCAAACAGG